AUUGAACGCUGGCGGCAGGCCUAACACAUGCAAGUCGAGCGAUCGGCGGACGGGUGCGUAAUGCCUAGGCAUCUGCCUGUUAGUGGGGGCUAACGUCCGGAAACGGUCGCUAAUACCGCAUACCCUCAGAUUUGCCCCGAUGGGAUUAGCUUGUUGGGGGGGGAACGGCUCACCAAGGCGAAGAUCCCUAGCUGGUCUGAGAGGAUGACCAGACACACUGGAACGGAGACACGGUCCAGACUCCUACGGGAGGCAGCAGUGGGGAAUAUUGGACAAUGGGCGCAAGCCUGAUGCAGCCAUGCCGAGUGUAUUAAGAAGGCCUGCGGGUUGUAAAGUACUUUCAGCGUGGAGGCGUUACCCGCAGAAGAAGCACCGGCUAACUCCGUGCCAGCAGCCGCGGUAAUUC
rnacentral:rRNA from 1 species